rnacentral:tRNA from 1 species
GGUUAAAGGGUUAAGAUUUUGGGUCUUUGGGGCAUUUAAUGGCUAUGGGGGAAGAGUUGUAACCU